UUAAGUGGCACUCACAUUGAAUACACUUUUGAGGAUAUUCCCAUUUCCACACAUUUUUCCGCAGUUGCUGUAGACAAAGACUUAUUUCCUUGUAUAAAACAUGCAGUACAUUAUACUUCAUAUACUGGUCUCAGUCAUAUUUCUCAUUAGAAGACAAUCACAGCUUUCAUCAGACAUUGAGGAAUCAACCUUCCAUCCAAACUAACCCCCAGCUAGAAUAUUUGGUCAUUUUUACAACUAAAGGACCAUUUCUCAAAACAUGUCAGGCAUAAAGAUCCUCCAUGGGCUAGCUGACGAUAUUGUUAAUGAUACACUGAGCCUCUUUUCCAAUCAGUCCAGGUUACCACUGACCACACCAGUGACAGAUGGCAGUUUAUUCACAGCCACCACUAAUGCUAGUCUUCAGCUCAUGAAUACAUCGAUGCAGAUGAAUUCAACUGAUGGAUUUGGAACCUCUGCAAGUGAUUGGGUUCAUUGUCAAUACAACAUACUGCUGCUAGGAAUGCUGCUAUUAGUGGCCUAUUUAUUCUUCAAAUGGUUCCAAAGGAUAUAGACUUUAAUUAACAUAACUUUGACCAAGUCUGAUAAAGAAAUCCAACUGAAGACAUUUCAUUAUAUUUUUAUUUAUAAUUUAUUAUUAAUGUCAAAAUCAUUUAGAAUGUCUUGAUAUUUUAAUGUUUGAAUUUUGUUUUCAUUAAGUCAGCUAGCCUGACUAUAUUAACAUUUGACUGAAAAAGUCUACAUGCAAUAUAUCUGAUAAAAUGUUAGGGGAUUCUUAAAACUAUAAUCUAGGGCAUUAAUAUUAUUUAAUAUGUACCCAUUUAUUCAGCAUGUCCUCAAUUUAAUUAUAUGUUUGUUGACUCUAUCAAAAUUAAAUUAUAAUUCUGGUUAUAUUUUUAUACAUCAAAAUUAAACGUGAUUAAAAUUUCCUUGGCAUGUGAUAUAUCACGAGCAUAAUUGUCACGAGACUGCGACUGUUUACAGUUACCGUAGCAGGAAACGAUCUCAGAUUCUGCACAGAUAAGAGAGUGCAUAUAACCACAACUUCCAGACAUGUGAGCAAUUUUCUCAAUGACUUUACGUCUUUCAUUCAAAGUACAAUUCUGAAUACUGUAUACAUUGUAUAUGUUGACUAUUUUUAUCCUUUUUUUAUAAUCAAUAAAUGUACUAUACAAGGAAACAAUAAUUCAAAACUAAAGUUUUUUUCUCUCAUUUAUGACAACAGUUUUAUUUUUUAUGCCGCUAAUAUGCACCCACAUCGAUAGAUCUAGAUCUGGGGUGCAUAUUGUUUUUGUCCUAUCUGUCUGUUUGUCUUUCUGUCUGUUGUCAACUUUCAUCUUCGCCAUAUCUUUUGAACCUUGAGAGAUAGAAACUUCACUUU